UACAGAGGGGGCGAGCGUUGUUCGGAAUUACUGGGCGUAAAGGCGCGUAGGCGGCCUGCUAAGUCAUACGUGAAAUCCCUCGGCUCAACCGAGGAACUGCGUCUGAUACUGGUUGGCUUGAAUUCGGGGGAGGGAUGCGGAAUUCCAGGUGUAGCGGUGAAAUGCGUAGAUAUCUGGAGGAACACCGGUGGCGAAGGCGGCAUCCUGGACCGAGAUUGACGCUGAUGCGCGAAAGCCAGGGGAGCAAACGGG
rnacentral:rRNA from 1 species